UACGUAGGGGGCUAGCGUUGUUCGGAAUUACUGGGCGUAAAGCGCACGUAGGCGGUUUUGUAAGUUAGAGGUGAAAGCCCGGGGCUCAACCCCGGAAUUGCCUUUAAGACUGCAUCGCUUGAAUCCAGGAGAAGUGAGUGGAAUUCCGAGUGUAGAGGUGAAAUUCGUAGAUAUUGGGAAGAACACCGGUGGCGAAGGCGGCACACUGGCUCGGAUCUGACACUCAGGCGCGACAGCGUGGGGAGCAAACAGG
rnacentral:rRNA from 1 species